CAACUACUCCCUCUAUCCCAAAUUUCUUGUCUUAGAUUUGUCUAGAUACGGAUGUAUCUAAUACUAAAAUGUGACUUGAUACAUCCGUAUCUAGACAAACCUAAGACAAGAAUUUUGGGACGGAGGGAGUACUUU
rnacentral:pre_miRNA from 1 species